UUCUAUCUUUUAAAUUAAUAUAAGUUAUUUUAGUACGAAAGGAGUAAAUAAUUAAAAUAUUUUUAUAA
rnacentral:rRNA from 1 species